GAUCCUGGCUCGGGAUGAACGCUAGCUACAGGCUUAACACAUGCAAGUCGUGGGGCAGCAUGGAAGUUGCUUGCAACUUUGAUGGCGACCGGCGCACGGGUGAGUAACGCGUAUCCAACCUGGCCCUUAGUAGGGGAUAGCCCGGCGAAAGUCGGAUUAAUACCCUAUGUUCUUCGUAGAUGACAUCUGAAAUGAAGCAAAGAUUUAUCGCUAAGGGAUGGGGAUGCGUCCGAUUAGGUUGUUGGCGGGGUAACGGCCCACCAAGCCUUCGAUCGGUAGGGGUUCUGAGAGGAAGGUCCCCCACAUUGGAACUGAGACACGGUCCAAACUCCUACGGGAGGCAGCAGUGAGGAAUAUUGGUCAAUGGACGGGAGUCUGAACCAGCCAAGUAGCCGUGCAGGAUGACGGCCCUAUGGGUUGUAAACUGCUUUUAUCAGGGGAUAAAGUGCGGGACGUGUCCCGUUUUGUAGGUACCUGAUGAAUAAGGACCGGCUAAUUCCGUGCCAGCCGCUGC
rnacentral:rRNA from 1 species